GUUCAAUUCCCACUGAUUGCAAUGAAGCAUGUGCAUUUUUUACAAUGUGGACAGGCUUCUUCCUUGUUACGUUCCAGUGCUCAAUACUUCCAUCAUCAGAACCAGAUAGAAACUCAUCAUUAUUGAUGAAACAACAGCAUUCAAGGGAAGUUGCUGGAGCACGAAAUAUCAAUUGAGAUUCCUCUGGAACCUUCCAUAAGUGCAUGGUUCGGUCUCGUCCAACUGUCAAGACCCUUUCUUUCCUCAAAGAAUCAAUGGUUAGAACUUCACUUUGAUGACCAAAUAAAGUAUUUACAUAAGC
rnacentral:misc_RNA from 1 species